rnacentral:misc_RNA from 1 species
AACAAGGCGUACCUGCGGACCUGCGGAAGGAUCAUUACCGAGUUUACAACUCCCAAACCCCUGUGAACAUACCAAUUGUUGCCUCGGCGGAUCAGCCCGCUCCCGGUAAAACGGGACGGCCCGCCAGAGGACCCCUAAACUCUGUUUCUAUAUGUAACUUCUGAGUAAAACCAUAAAUAAAUCAAAACUUUUAGCAACGGAUCU